rnacentral:rRNA from 1 species
CCUACGGGUGGCAGCAGUGAGGAAUAUUGGUCAAUGGGCGAGAGCCUGAACCAGCAAAGUCGCGUGGAGGAUGAAGGAUCUAUGGUUUUUAAACCUCUUUUAUAUGGGAAUUAAGUGAGGAACGUGUUCCUUUUUGUAUGUACCAUAUGAAUAAGCAUCGGCUAACUCCGUGCCAGCAGCCUCGGUAAUACGGAGGAUGCGAGCGUUGUCCGGAUUUAUUGGGAUUAACGGGUGCGUAGGUGGUUUAUUAAGUCAGCGGUGAAAGUUUGUGGCUCAACCAUAAAAUUGCCGUUGAAACUGGUAGACUUGAGUAUAGUUGAGGUAGGCGGAAUGCGUGGUGUAGCGGUGAAAUGCAUAGAGAUCACGCAGAACACUGAUUGCGAAGGCAGCUUACUAAACUAUAACUGACACUGAAGCGCGAAAGCGUGGGGAUCAAACAGGAUUAGAUACCCCAGUAGUC